UACAGAGACUGCAAGCGUUACUCGGGAUUCACUGGGCGUAAAGGGAGCGCAGGCGGACUCGUGUGUCGGACGUGAAAUACCGGGGCUUAACCCCGGUGCUGCGUUCGAAACUACGAGUCUAGAGACUUGGAGGGGUAAGGCGGAAUUCUUGGUGGAGCAGUGAAAUGCGUAGAUAUCAAGAGGAACACCAACGGCGAAGGCAGCUUACUGGACAAGAUCUGACGCUCAGGCUCGAAAGCGUGGGGGAGCAAAAAGGG
rnacentral:rRNA from 1 species